GGGAAGACACAGAAGUCUGAAGAGACUGAUAGAGGAGGGAGACAGGGAUGGGCAGAAGACAACUAGAGGUCUGAAGAGACUGAUAGAGGAGGAGACAGGGAUGGGCAGAAGACAACUAGAGGUCUGAAGAGACUGAUAGAGGAGGAGACAGGGAUGGGCAGAAGACAACUAGAGGUCUGAAGAGACUAAAGAAAGAAGGAGAGUGAGAAAGAGACUUCUACCUGAGACUGAACUGUCUGCACACACACACACACACACACACACACACACACACACACACACACACACACACACACACACACACACACACACACACACACACACACACACACACACACAGUCCGUUAGCGCUGACAGUGCAGGGCUUAGUUGCAUGUGACAGCAGGAUGAGCAGGGCCUGGUUCCCAAGGAAACAGCAGAGUCAGCCAUGACACACAAAUCUAUGAUUGCUGACUGUCAUGACAUUUUGUAUAUAUUUGUAUUUGUAUUUUAUUGGUUAUGUAUGUGUUUUUAUGUCUGAGUGCUUGCGUCUAAAACAUUGGUUCAACAUGUGCCAUUGUUAGAAUAGUGAUUUUCGAUGGAUGGCGCAGACCUGGGUUCAGAUACAUGUGUAUUGAGUAUUUGUUAUUCAAAUAUUUUGUUUUGUGUAUUUAAGUAUUUUCAAAUAAACAGCUCAAAACAAGUACUUUUAAUUGAGCAUUUGAAUGGUUAUUUGUGAAAAAAACAAAUAGUCAACCAAAUUGAAUCUGAAAGUAUUUUCAAAUAUUUAUUUCAUAUACUGUCACGGAUUUCCUCCUCUUCAUCUGAAGAGGAGAGGCGAGAAGGAUCGGAGGAAUAAUAUGCGGCGUGGUAAGUGUCCAUGGUUCUUUUAAUAUGUAAAUGUACACAUGAACACUACAAAACAAUAAACAUGGAAAACCUAAACAGUCCUAUCUGGUGCAGAGACAGAGACAGGAACAAUCACCCACAAACACACAGUGAACCCAGGCUACCUAAGUAUGAUUCUCAAUCAGAGACAACUAAUGACACCUGCCUCUGAUUGAGAACCAUACUAGGCCGAAACAUAGAAAUACCCAAAUCAUAGAAAAACAAACAUAGACUGCCCACCCCAACUCACACCCUGACCAAACUAAAUAAUGACAAAAACAAAGGAAAUAAAGGUCAGAACGUGACAUAUACUCGUAUUUGAGUCAGUGUAUUUGAGUAUUUCCUACUACUUUCUAAGUGUAUUUACAAAUAAAUUUCAAUAUUCAGCUACUUGUUUUUUUUUCAAAUAAAUUUGAUCUGAAUACUUGUUUUGAAAUGUAUUGAAAAGUAAUUGAAAUGCCUUAAAUAGCAUUUGAACCCAGGUCUGGCAUGGCUUAUACCAACAUUGGUCUGAUGUUUGUUUUUGAUACGAAUAAUAAAAUACAGAAAAACUUUC
ensembl:lncRNA